rnacentral:rRNA from 1 species
GCAUAUCAAUAAGCGGAGGAAAAGAAACCAACAGGGAUUGCCUCAGUAACGGCGAAGUGAAGCGGCAAGAGCUCAAAUUUGAAAGCUGGCUCCUUCGGGGUCCGCAUUGUAAUUUGCAGAGGAUGCUUCGGGAGCGGCCCCCAUCUAAGUGCCCUGGAACGGGCCGUCAUAGAGGGUGAGAAUCCCGUCUGGGAUGGGGUGCCCGCGCCCGUGUGAAGCUCCUUCGACGAGUCGAGUUGUUUGGGAAUGCAGCUCUAAAUGGGUGGUAAAUUUCAUCUAAAGCUAAAUACUGGCCGGAGACCGAUAGCGCACAAGUAGAGUGAUCGAAAGAUGAAAAGCACUUUGAAAAGAGAGUUAAACAGCACGUGAAAUUGUUGAAAGGGAAGCGCUUGCGACCAGACUCGCUCGCGGGGUUCAGCCGGCCUUCGGGCCGGUGUACUUCCCCGCGGGCGGGCCAGCGUCGGUUUGGGCGGCCGGUCAAAGGCCCUCGGAAUGUAACGCCCCCCGGGGCGUCUUAUAGCCGAGGGUGCCAUGCGGCCAGCCCGGACCGAGGAACGCGCUUCGGCUCGGACGCUGGCAUAAUGGUCGUAAGCGACCCGUCUUGAAACACGGACCAAGGAGUCUAACAUCUACGCGAGUGUUCGGGUGUCAAACCCGUGCGCGCAGUGAAAGCGAACGGAGGUGGGAACCCCUCGGGGUGCACCAUCGACCGAUCCUGAUGUCUUCGGAUGGAUUUGAGUAAGAGCGUAGCUGUUGGGACCCGAAAGAUGGUGAACUAUGCCUGAAUAGGGCGAAGCCAGAGGAAACUCUGGUGGAGGCUCGCAGCGGUUCUGACGUGCAAAUCGAUCGUCAAAUUUGGGUAUAGGGGCGAAAGACUAAUCGAACCAUCUAGUAGCUGGUUCCUGCG